UGUUUAGUAAAAUGUUUUAUUUUCAAAUUAAAUCUGAAAAUCCCUGUGUCGGUGGUUCAAUUCCACCCCUGGCCACCA
rnacentral:tRNA from 1 species